rnacentral:lncRNA from 1 species
UUUCCAAAAAAAAGAACUUAAUAGGCUACACCGCCACUCAAGCCAUGUUUAUUUCAAAAUCCAAAAUCAUAUUACAUAAGCCAUUAUGAACCCAUACAUAAAUCAUGUUCAUUACAAUGACCAAAUACAUUUCAAUAGCAUCAUGACUAAAACAUGGCAAGCCAUAGCAAUCUUGUGGCAAUCUUCUUCAAACUCCAUCUGUUUCUCCAACGCCACUACAACACUAAUCCUUUCUCGUUUCUAUCUCUACCCAAACGAACCACCGUUUUUUCCCCUUCAAACCAACCCCUCAAUCUCCAUUAUCCCAUUGCAUCCCAAUACCAACAGGACAAACCAAAGCCGCUACCGACAAUACUCCCAAAGUUCCCAGCUGCAACUAGCAACAUCACGGCAACGACGGAUAGCAGCCAAGUCCAACCUGCAAGCAACCAAACCAGUGAAUCAAGAUCAACCUUCUUGCAACAUUGUUGAUUUUAGAAACACAAAGAAGCAAUUGAAAAGUGGAACGAACCACAACUAUAAUAUAAACACAGACACAGUACUGAUUUGGACAAAGACAGAGUGCAUGUGAAUCAAGAAACCAUGACUUCUUCUAAUCAUGAUCCUAC